UGCUCGAAAGAGAACCGUAACACAGGUGCUGCAUGGCUGUCGUCAGCUCGUGUCGUGAGAUGUUGGGUUAAGUCCCGCAACGAGCGCAACCCUUGUCAUUAGUUGCUACAUUCAGUUGGGCACUCUAAUGAGACUGCCGGUGACAAACCGGAGGAAGGUGGGGAUGACGUCAAGUCCUCAUGGCCCUUAUAGGUGGGGCUACACACGUCAUACAAUGGAUGGUACAAAGGGUCGCCAACCCGCGAGGGGGAGCCAAUCCCAUAAAGCCAUUCGUAGUCCGGAUCGCAGUCUGCAACUCGACUGCGUGAAGUCGGAAUCGCUAGUAAUCGUGGAUCAGAAUGUCACGGUGAAUACGUUCCCGGGUCUU
rnacentral:rRNA from 1 species